ACGACAGCGACUUCCUCGUUGGCGAUCGUGAACACUUUCUUCAGCGCGUCGGCACGCGCUUUCGGGUC
rnacentral:sRNA from 1 species